GACCAGUUAGCACAGUCAGUUGUGCAUAGCGCUAACAACACUAAGGUCAAGGGUUCGAUUCCCGUUCGGUCG
rnacentral:tRNA from 1 species